GUUUCAUUGUAUUACAUUGGCUCCGUAAGCGUAAGAAGCUCUCUUUAUAUUACAAACUAUACAACUAAUAUCUAAUACCCUUAACUACAUGUUCCCACCUCACUUGACAACAUUUAAUGUGAGGAGUAAUUAACAUUGACAAUUGCCAUGUCCAUGUUGACAGACAACAACUUCUUUUAUUGACAAUAGCAACUCUUGUUGACACGUCCCCUCGAGUUGGUGCAUAGAUGUCGUGAAUGCCCAACUUGCUCAAUGAGCUGUGAAAUAUUGUACUUGUGACUGCUUUGGUGAGCAUGUCUGCUAAUUGAUCUUCAAAUUUACGAAUGGAACUUCAAUGAGUCUUGCCUCAAGUUUUUCUUUAAUAAAAUGUCUAUCCACCUCCACAUGUUUAGUUCGAUCAUGUUGAAUCGGUAUGUAAGCAAUGUCAAUCGGAGCCUUGUUGUCACAAUGUAGACGCAUAACAUGCUUGGGCCUAAAUCCCAAACUCUCAGUAAGUUCCUCACCCAAAGCAGUUCACAUACUCUAUGUGCCAUGCUCUAGUAUUCUGCUUCAGCACUUGAUAUAGCAACGACCUUUUGUUUCUUACUACCCAAGAGACUAGAUUUCCACCAACAAUAACAAAGUAUCCUGAUGUUGAUCGUCUGUUAGUUACAUCACCAGCCUAAUCAGCAUCAGUGUAGCCUUUAACGUCUAGAUGAUCAUGUUUUGAAAACAUUAAUCAUUUCCCAUGAGCUGACUUUAAAUAUCUCAAGAUACAGUUUACAGCAUCCAUGUGUGUUUCGCUUGGUGCAUGCAUAAACUGGCUCACCAUGCUAACUGCAUAUGCUAUAUCUAGUCUAGUAUGUGCAAGAUAUAUUAGUUUACCAACAAGUCGCUGAUAUCUCUCUUUGUUGGUAGGUAUCUGAUUAGGAUAUUCACAAGUUUGUGAUUCAACUCAAUUGGGGUAUCUACUGGUUUGCAUGAUAGCAUCCCGGUUUCCGUCAAAAUAUCAAGAACAUAUUUCCGUUGUGAUAGAAAUAUUCCUUGUUGUGAGCGGGCCACAUCAAUGCCCAAGAAAUACUUUAAGGCACCGAGAUCUUUCAUCUCAAAUUCACUUGCUAGAUACUUUUGCAGUGCUGGCUUCUCUUUUGAAUCAUUUCCUAUAACCACCAUGUCAUCCACAUAUACAAUAAGAGCAAUGAUUUUAUAUUUCUUAUGCUUUAAGAAAAGAGUAUGAUCUGAGUUGCUUUGCUUGUAUCUAAAGAUUUUCAUCGAUUUGGUAAAUUUCACAAACCAAGCUCUUGGUGAUUGUUUUAAACCAUACAACGACUUUUUUAGUUUACAAACGUUGUUGGUCUGAUUGGGAUCCAGCUUGCAUCCUGGGGGAAGCUCCAUGUAAACUUCUUCUUCUAAAUCUCCAUGCAGGAAAGCAUUUUUGACAUCAAAUUGUUGUAAAGGCCAGUCAAGGUUUGCUGCUAGGGAUAAGAGUACACGAAUAAUGCUGAUCUUAGCUACAAGGCAAAAGUCUCUUCGUAGUCAAUGUCGUAUGUUUGCGUGUAGCCUUUUGCCACUAAUCUUGCUUUGUAUCGCUCAAUAGUGCCAUCUGCAUUGAAUUUUACAUUGUAUAUCCACUUGCAACCAAUUGCUCUCUUCCCCUUGGGUAGGUUAGUUAACUCCCAAGUAGAAUUUUUCUGGAGUGCUUCCAUUUCUUCAUUCAUUGCACGAGUCCCCCUAGGAUCAUUCAUAGCAUCCUCUACACUACAAGGAAUAGAUACAGUGGAUAAUUGAUUUACAAAUGCCUCACAUGAUGUAGAUAGCCUAUGGAAAGACACAUGGUUAGCAAUUGGGUAUUUAACCUUGGCUCUAGGAUCAAGAUCAUACAACUGUUUAGGAAUCCCUCAAGAUUUUCGAGGGGGAAGUUGAUAUUUAGUGGACUCAAUUUGACUUGACUCAGGUAUGAUCUCAUCAGAAAUAGAACUUCAUCAUCACUAGCCAUUGUAUAGGCUUAAGAUCAGUGAAGUUGAAAUAAAAGAUGAAACUGAUAUGGGAAAAAAUGAAGAAUAAUUUGCUUAUGAUGGUAAUCGAGAUAUGACUUUGGCGAAAGCUUUUUCUGGUUUUGAGGUUCAAGAGUCAGUCAUGAUCGACUGCCCCGAUACCAUCUCAGAAAUAAUGGGUUUGUGGGUCAAUUUUCUUGUUUCAUUGUAUUACAUUGGCUCCGUAAGCGUAAGGAGCUCUUUAUAUUACAAACUAUACAUCUAAUAUCUAAUACCCUUAACUACAUGUUCCCACCUCACUUGACAACAUUUAAUGUGAGAGUAAUUACUGCCAUGUCCAUGUUGACAGACAGCAGCUUCUUUUGUUGACAAUAGCAGCUCCAGCAGCUCUUGUUGACAUAAGCCUCG
rnacentral:lncRNA from 1 species